AAUUUGACAAUUGACAGAUUACCUUGUAAAUUGUAAAAAAUAAAUAAAGUUAUCCUUGGUUAUCGGAACGGGAACAAAACAAAAACAAAGUCGGGAACAAUGGAUAAAAGCCAUAAGGAGAACAGAAACAGAACUAAAAUUAAAAUAUGAAAGAAUAUGCAAUAAACUUUGUAUAAGUGGAAGGCCAGCCACUUCAAAAAGAUAUUCCAAACCAAAACGGGUUACUAAAGCAGGCGAUAAAAAGAAAAGGUGAUCUAGAAUGCAAGAAAAGAGCUGAUGAAAGAAGUAAAUGUAAAGAAAAUAAUGCCCAGACUUCUCUCGACCAUGUAAAAACACCAGAUAUUUUAUACAGGGUGUAACGAAAAUACAGGUCAUAAAUUUAAUCACAUAUUCUGGGACCAAAAAUAGUUUGAUUGAAUCUAACUUACCUUAGUACAAAUGUACAUAUAAAAAAAGUUACAACCCUUUGAAGUUACAAAAUUAAAAUCGAUUUUUUCCAAUAUAUCGAAAACUAUUAAAGAUUUUGUAUUGAAAAUGGACAUAUGGCAUUUUUAUGACAGUAGCAUCUUAAAAAAAAAUUAUAGUGAAAUUUGGACACCCUAUAAAAAUUUUAUGGGGGUUUAGUUCCUUUAAACUCCCCCAAACUUUUGUGUACGUUCCAAAUAAAUUGUUAUUGUAGUACCAUUACUUAAACACAAUAUUUUUAAAACUUUUUUGGCUCUUAGUACUUUUUCGAAAAUUCAAUUUUUAUCGAGAUAUUUUAAAUAUUUGUCAAAUCCACCACAUAUUUGUAUAUGGUUAAGUACGAUUAUGGAGACUUAGUAAAAAUAUGAAAAUUUAUGUAUGAUUUACAUUUUUAGGUAUAUUUUGAACCGUAUUAAAAAAGAAGCCGUAUCUCGAUAAAAGUUGCCUUCUUGAAAAAAUACAAAGAGGCAAAAAAGUUUUAAAAACAUUUUGUUUAACUAAUGGUAUCGCAGUAAUAGUUUAAUUGGAGCGUACAUAAACAUUUGGGGGGUUUAAAGGAACAAAACCCCCAUAAAAUUUUUAUGUAAACAUAUUAAAAAAGAAGCCGCAACUCGAUAAAAACUGCUAUAUCGAAAAAAUACUAAGAGCCAAAAAAGUUUUAAAAAUAUUGAAUUUAACUAAUGGUACCACAAUAAUAAUUUAAUUUGAACGUACAGAAAAGUUUGGGGGGGUUUAAGGGAACAAAACCCCCAUAAAAUUUGUAUGGGGAGCACAAAUUUCACUAUAAUUUUUCUUUAAAAUGCUCCUGCCGUAAGAAUGCCACAUAUAUAUUUUCAAUAAAAAAUCUCUAAUAGUUUUCGAUAUAUUCGAAAAAAUCGAUUUUCAUUUUGUAACUUCAAAGGGCUAUAACUUUUUUUAUGUGCAUAUUUGUACUAAGGUAAGUUAGGUUCAUUCGAACUAUUUUUGGUCUCAGAAUAUGUGAUUUUAUUUAUGACCUGUAUUUUUGUUACACCCUGUAUAUUAUGUAGAAAAAGGAAAAACUGCUGGAACUUUAAUUUAAAGGCUUUUGACUAGUGAAGAUUUGGAUAAACAACAGGAGUUACUUUGGGCUAUAAUAGCUACGUGAAAAUUUAUUUUCUUGUGGCUUCCUAUGCUUAUUCUUAUUAACUAUACACUUUGAUAUGUUUUUAGUCGCAUGAAGAUUUUAUAGUUUAUUAUUUUAUGUAUAUUGUUAUAUUUGUGUUGAAUAAACAUUAUUAUUAUUAUUA